rnacentral:rRNA from 1 species
UACGUAGGGGGCAAGCGUUGUCCGGAUUUAUUGGGCGUAAAGAGCGUGUAGGCGGCCAGGUAGGUCAGCUGUGAAAACUCGAGGCUCAACCUCGAGACGUCGGUUGAAACCACCUGGCUAGAGUCCGGAAGAGGAGAGUGGAAUUCCUGGUGGUAGCGGUGAAAUGCGCAGAUAUCAGGAGGAACACCGGUGGCGAAGGCGGUGGUCUGGGCCGGUACUGACGCUGGAGGAGCGAAAGCGUGGGGAGCGAACAGG